GUUGUCCGGAAUUACUGGGCGUAAAGAGCUCGUAGGUGGUUUGUCGCGUUGUUCGUGAAAUCUCACGGCUUAACUGUGAGCGUGCGGGCGAUACGGGCAGACUUGAGUACUGCAGGGGAGACUGGAAUUCCUGGUGUAGCGGUGGAAUGCGCAGAUAUCUGGAGGAACACCGGUGGCGAAGGCGGGUCUCUGGGCAGUAACUGACGCUGAGGAGCGAAAGCGUGGGGAGCGAACAGGAUUAGAUACCCUGGUAGUCCACGCCGUAAACGGUGGGUACUAGGUGUGGGUUUCCUUCCUUGGGAUCCGUGCCGUAGCUAACGCAUUAAGUACCCCGCCUGGGGAGUACGGCCGCAAGGCUAAAACUCAAAGAAAUUGACGGGGGCCCGCACAAGCGGCGGAGCAUGUGGAUUGAUUCGAUGCAACGCGAAGAACCUUACCUGGGUUUGACAUGCACAGGACGCCGGCAGAGAUGUCGGUUCCCUUGUGGCCUGUGUGCAGGUGGUGCAUGGCUGUCGUCAGCUCGUGUCGUGAGAUGUUGGGUUAAGUCCCGCAACGAGCGCAACCCUUGUCUCAUGUUGCCAGCGGGUAAUGCCGGGGACUCGUGAGAGACUGCCGGGGUCAACUCGGAGGAAGGUGGGGAUGACGUCAAGUCAUCAUGCCCCUUAUGUCCAGGGCUUCACACAUGCUACAGUGGCCGGUACAAAGGGCUGCGAUGCCGCGAGGUUAAGCGAAUCCUUUUAAAGCCGGUCUCAGUUCGGAUCGGGGUCUGCAACUCGACCCCGUGAAGUCGGAGUCGCUAGUAAUCGCAGAU
rnacentral:rRNA from 1 species